GUUCUAUGUCGGUGAGGUUUUUUUGCUGGUAUUCCUGGUCCUUAGGCAUUUCAUAUUCAACUUAAAUAGCAGUUUUUGUUGUGGCUAAUCUGCGUUUCAGUUCUUUUUUUCCGGUCCUCAAAAAAAAUGAAUCCACCAAAUGUGGACUAGGCAAACUCGUUUCCGGAAACUUUCUCUUUGGACCUAGAAGCUACCAGAGGGAAUGCCUCGCGCUUCGAGACCUCCUCAACCCUAGAAUGAAAAGUCAGUGCAAGCAGAAUUGCCGCUGGGCCGCAGUUGACUUCCGUCCCCACUAGGCCAUAGCUGACUUUGUUGACCGUAGCUGACCGUUCUCCGGCGCCGACUCUCAAUUCCUGGUCCCGGCCCCCCCAUGUCUGGCCCCGAUACCGCCAAUUCCAGCCCACAGACUCCUGGCCCACAAGCCUCCAAUGGCGGCUGCCAACUCCUGAUUCCAGAAACCCAACUUCUGACCCCGACACCGCAGACUCAGGAACCGCCAAUUCUUCCCCAUCAAAUACGGACCCCCGGAACUGAUUCCACCCCGCGCCUUCGGUCGCCCAGAGUCCGGCUCCGCGCCUUCUGUCGCCCAGAGUCCGGCUCCGCGCCUUCUGUCGCCCAGAGUCCGGCUCCGCGCCUUCUGUCGCCCAGAGUCCGGCUCCGCGCCUUCUGUCGCCCAGAGUCCGGCUCCGCGCCUUCUGUCGCCCAGAGUCCGGCUCCGCGCCUUCUGUCGCCCAGAGUCCGGCUCCGCGCCUUCUGUCGCCCAGAGUCCGGCUCCGCGCCUUCUGUCGCCCAGAGUCCGGCUCCGCGCCUUCUGUCGCCAGUACCCUAGAGCCCGGCCCUAUUCAUGGAAAAAACACUGCCACUGCUGCGAGGGCUAGACAAGAAGCAAGGCAAAAUAUCCUAGAAGUUGGAUGGGAUCCUGCCACUUUCAGGAACCGGCAUUAUAAAAACUACCGCCGAGCGAUCAACCCUUGAUAGCCUGCCGGCCUGCUCAUUGCCCCCAUCCAUGUGGGACCUGGCCUGCCCACGUUGUUCCACCAUGCUCAGCCUCUUCUCCUUCCUGCCCUCUGCCAUCCAUCAAAUAUGAGCAUUUUUGAAUAAAUCACUUCAAAUUUGUCUCCAGUUGUGCUCUGAACUUCACUGUUUAAACCACUCAAUGUUUAAAAUGUUAAAUUACAUGAAG
ensembl:lncRNA